GACGAACGCUGGCGGCGUGCUUAACACAUGCAAGUCGAACGGUAAGGCCCUUCGGGGUACACGAGUGGCGAACGGGUGAGUAACACGUGGGUGAUCUGCCCUGCACUUCGGGAUAAGCCUGGGAAACUGGGUCUAAUACCGGAUAGGACCACUGCCUACAUGGGUGGUGGUGGAAAGCUUUUGCGGUGUGGGAUGGGCCCGCGGCCUAUCAGCUUGGUGGUGGGGUGAUGGCCUACCAAGGCGACGACGGGUAGCCGGCCUGAGAUGGUGACCGGCCACACUGGGACUGAGAUACGGCCCAGACUCCUACGGGAGGCAGCAGUGGGGAAUAUUGCACAAUGGGCGCAAGCCUGAUGCAGCGACGCCGCGUGAGGGAUGACGGCCUUCGGGUUGUAAACCUCUUUCAGCACCGACGAAGCGCAAGUGACGGUAGGUGCAGAAGAAGGACCGGCCAACUACGUGCCAGCCGCCGCCGUAA
rnacentral:rRNA from 1 species